rnacentral:rRNA from 1 species
CUCGUAGGCGGAUUGGCAAGUCAGAAGUGGAAUCCAUGGGCUUAACCCAUGAACUGCUUUUGAAACUGUUAGUCUUGAGUGAAGUAGAGGUAGGCGGAAUUCCCGGUGUAGCGGUGAAAUGCGUAGAGAUCGGGAGGAACACCAGUGGCGAAGGCGACUGUCUGGUCUGUAACUGACACUGAGGCGCGAAAGCGUGGGAGCAAACA